CUCCUCUCAGGAUCGCACCUGGAGAGUUUCCAGCACUCUACCAGUCUUGGCUGUGAGAGGGAGAGUCACGCAGAGGCAUACCCAUUCUGUUCCUAGUUUGGGCAAUGGCUAGCAAGUGGCAGGAAAUCUGCUACAAGU